AUUGAACGCUGGCGGCAUGCCUUACACAUGCAAGUCGAACGGUAACAGGUUAAGCUGACGAGUGGCGAACGGGUGAGUAAUAUAUCGGAACGUGCCCAGUCGUGGGGGAUAACUGCUCGAAAGAGCAGCUAAUACCGCAUACGACCUGAGGGUGAAAGCGGGGGAUCGCAAGACCUCGCGCGAUUGGAGCGGCCGAUAUCAGAUUAGGUAGUUGGUGGGGUAAAGGCCUACCAAGCCUACGAUCUGUAGCUGGUCUGAGAGGACGACCAGCCACACUGGGAAUGAGACACGGCCCAGACUCCUACGGGAGGCAGCAGUGGGGAAUUUUGGACAAUGGACGCAAGUCUGAUCCAGCCAUGCCGCGUGCGGGAAGAAGGCCUUCGGGUUGUAAACCGCUUUUGUCAGGGAAGAAAAGGUUCUGGUUAAUACCUGGGACUCAUGACGGUACCUGAAGAAUAAGCACCGGCUAACUACGUGCCAGCCGCCGCAGUAACAC
rnacentral:rRNA from 1 species